GAGGCCAACCCUAUAUUGAUAUGCCAGGAUGGGAGAAACACCGGUAAAUGCGUGGAGAAAAAUAAAGCAGGGUAAAGAGGACCACAGAUGACUAGACAUUUGCUGCUUUCUGUAGCGUGCUCCGAGGAAGUGACACCUAACUAGAGACUGGAAGGACGUGAAGGUGGAUGUCAGGAGGGUCCCUCGUGAUAGGCAUGGAAAGCACCCUGGGCCAAAGAAGUCUUGGUGUGAUCAGGACACAAAGAGGGAGCAAUGGGGAAGUGGGAAGAUAAGAGGUCGGAGAAUGAAGGGAGAAUCAUUUAGGGCCGUGUAAGCCAUGGCAAAGAUUUUGACAUUUACGCCGAGUAUAUAUGAGAAGUCAUUGAAGGGUUUCAGUGCAGCAGUGCGGAUAAUAGGCAGAAUGGAAGAGGAAGCCUCUGGUGUAACCGGGAGCAGGAAAAUUGGGUGCUCACAAUAGGGAAGUGUGUCACCCAAGUUUUUUGGUGUUUUUUUUUUCAGUUAGUGCUAUCAUGCAUGUUAUAGCCAACUCCUGUAAUAGGAAUGAGCCACCAGCCAGGCACUGCUGAGCUUUGACAAGGAACCCUACAGCAAUAGAACCUUUACCUGGAGAUGCAGAAGAGAAAGCCUGCUUCCUGCAGGCGGCUCGCCCUCAAGAGGAAACUGGUCCAGCUGGUGAGCUUGCCCAGUUAUGCUUCUCGAAGGUCUUAACCCAAGUCAGUCGACUUCCCAGGGAUGGACUGAGCAAAGGUGUGAGAGAGGGGCUGCUGGAGAGGAAGAGGUAGGUUUCAGUUAGAGCAAGAGUGUUGGGCAAACAUUCAAAAAAGCUGGAAAUGAAGGAAAUUGUGCUGAAGAUCAUGAGUCCCAGAGGACACAACCAGAAGGUUCUGGGAAUCUGGGAUGAGUGGGAGAUGAAACUUCUAAUCUUUGCCCCCUAACGCUUAGAACAUGGGGCAGGUGUCAGAUGAUUAUUUGUCCCUCCCGUGAAACCUGCUGGGGCCCGGGGAGGGCUGGGGAAGGCGCUGGUGGCACGGGCACCCGUGUUUGGUUUGAGGGCAGACCUAACGGUGGGACAGAGUCUACUGGACUUGGAACCGCGAGGUUCGGAAGGGCUGGCGUGACUCUCCCCCUCCCACCUGCCUUCCCUUCCCCACACCUGGCCCGGCAGAGGACGGUCACCGCCACGAGGUCUUUCCCAGCUUGCCGACCCCGCCACCCAGGGGUGGAGCCCCGUUUCUUUACUCCUAACCCGGCACAAAAGCGAGCGUGUUCUUCUUCCCGUCGUUCUAAUCCCUUCCGAAGGGGCAGGCGGAUAAUCUCUGCAUCUGAGAGUGGACCGGUUUUGGGGUGACAUGGCCCAGGGGAAUAAUUACGGGCACACCAGCAAUGGGGUGGCAGAUGAGUCCCCCAACAUGCUGGUAUACAGAAAGGUAAGGACGCUUCUGCCUGUCUCGCCUUUUCCCCAGAUCGGAGUCUACGUCAACUUUGUGAAUGCCCCAAAUCACCAGUGACCGCACCCUAUAUUUGAAGAUAAUCUGCCAUCUUCAAGUGACAAAUGUGUGUAGAAACACAGGGAAAUAAAUGAGGCUAAUUGUACUUUGUCCUGAGUUCCCUGCUGAUUUUAUAUAGAUUUAUCUGUCAUCCACCAAAGCGCCAAGUUUGGGCCUUCGUAUAUUUCACUUGUUCCACCCAUGAUUUCAUAGCAUCCAUG
rnacentral:lncRNA from 1 species